GUGGGGAAUAUUGGGCAAUGGGCGCAAGCCUGACCCAGCAACGCCGCGUGAGGGAAGAAGGCCUUCGGGUUGUAAACCUCUGUCCUUGGUGACGAAACAAAUGACGGUAGCCAAGGAGGAAGCCCCGGCUAACUACGUGCCAGCAGCCGCGGUAAUACGUAGGGGGCGAGCGUUGUCCGGAAUUACUGGGCGUAACGGGUGCGUAGGUGGCCUUUUAAGUUGGAUGUGAAAUACCCGGGCUUAACUUGGGGGGUGCAUCUAAUACUGGGAGGCUAGAGUGCAGGAGAGGGAAGCGGAAUGCCUAGUGUAGCGGUGAAAUGCGUAGAUAUUAGGAGGAACACCAGUGGCGAAGGCGGCUUUCUGGACUGUAACUGACACUGAGGCACGAAAGCGUGGGGAGCAAACAGGAUUAGAUACCCUUGUAGUCC
rnacentral:rRNA from 1 species